rnacentral:rRNA from 1 species
UACGGAGGGGGCUAGCGUUGUUCGGAAUUACUGGGCGUAAAGCGCGCGUAGGCGGCUUUGUAAGUUAGAGGUGAAAGCCCGGAGCUCAACUUCGGAAUAGCCUUUAAGACUGCAUCGCUAGAAUCGUGGAGAGGUGAGUGGAAUUCCGAGUGUAGAGGUGAAAUUCGUAGAUAUUCGGAAGAACACCAGUGGCGAAGGCGACUCACUGGACACGUAUUGACGCUGAGGUGCGAAAGCGUGGGGAGCAAACAGGAUUAGAUACCCCCGUAGUCC